rnacentral:misc_RNA from 1 species
GAUGAAGAACGUAGCGAAAUGCGAUACUUGGUGUGAAUUGCAGAAUCCCGUGAACCAUCGAGUCUUUGAACGCAAGUUGCGCCCGAAGCCAUUAGGCCGAGGGCACGCCUGCCUGGGCGUCACACGUCGUUGCCCCCCCAUCUACUCCUUCGGGAUUGCGGGGGGCGGAUGAUGGCCGCUCGCGCGCCUCGUCGCGCGGUUGGCCUAAAUGCCAAGUCCUCGGCGACGCACGCCACGACAAUCGGUGGUUGCGAAACCUCGGUUGCCUGUCGUGUGCGGUCGUCGCGCAUCGAGGGCUCGAAAAAAUUGCCGGGCUUCGGCUCGACUUUCAACGCGACCCCAGGUCAGGCGGGGUUACCCGCUGAAUUUAAGCAUAUCAAUAAGCGGAGGA